rnacentral:rRNA from 1 species
GACGAACGCUGGCGGCGUGCUUAACACAUGCAAGUCGAACGGAAAGGCCCUGCUUUUGUGGGGUGCUCGAGUGGCGAACGGGUGAGUAACACGUGAGUAACCUGCCCUUGACUUUGGGAUAACUUCAGGAAACUGGGGCUAAUACCGGAUAGGAGCUCCUGCUGCAUGGUGGGGGUUGGAAAGUUUCGGCGGUUGGGGAUGGACUCGCGGCUUAUCAGCUUGUUGGUGGGGUAGUGGCUUACCAAGGCUUUGACGGGUAGCCGGCCUGAGAGGGUGACCGGCCACAUGGGGAUGGAGAUACGGCCCAGACUCCUACGGGAGGCAGGAGUGGGGAAUAUUGCACAAGGGGCGGAAGCCUGAUGCAGCAACCCCGCGGGCGGGAUGACGGCCUUCGGGUUGUAAACCGCUUUCGCCUGUGACGAAGCGUGAGUGGCGGUAAUGGGUAAAGAAGCACCGGCUAACUACGU